rfam:Nematostella vectensis strain CH2 x CH6 NEMVEscaffold_310_Cont23349, whole genome shotgun sequence.
GGCCUGAUAGCUCAGUGGUAAGGGCUUCGCUUCUCAAACAAGAGGGCCGGGGUUCGAAUCCAGGUCAGAUCA